rnacentral:rRNA from 1 species
GACGAACGCUGGCGGCGUGCUUAACACAUGCAAGUCGAACGGAAAGGCCCUGCUUUUGUGGGGUGCUCGAGUGGCGAACGGGUGAGUAACAUGUGAGUAAUCUGCCCUUGACUUUGGGAUAACUUCAGGAAACUGGGGCUAAUACCGGAUAGGAGCUCCUGCUGCAUGGUGGGGGUUGGAAAGUUUCGGCGGUUGGGGAUGGACUCGCGGCUUAUCAGCUUGUUGGUGGGGUAGUGGCUUACCAAGGCUUUGACGGGUAGCCGGCCUGAGAGGGUGACCGGCCACAUUGGGACUGAGAUACGGCCCAGACUCCUACGGGAGGCAGCAGUGGGGAAUAUUGCACAAUGGGCGGAAGCCUGAUGCAGCAACGCCGCGUGCGGGAUGACGGCCUUCGGGUUGUAAACCGCUUUCGCCUGUGACGAAGCGUGAGUGACGGUAAUGGGUAAAGAAGCACCGGCUAACUACGUG